rnacentral:rRNA from 1 species
UGGGGAAUUUUGCACAAUGGGGGAAACCCUGAUGCAGCGACGCCGCGUGAUUUAGAAGGCCUUCGGGUUGUAAAAAUCUUUUCUAUGGGAAGAAAAUGACAGUACCAUAGGAAUAAGGACCGGCUAAUUACGUGCCAGCAGCCGCGGUAAUACGUAAGGUCCGAGCGUUGUCCGGAAUCAUUGGGCGUAAAGGGUACGUAGGCGGGUAAGCAAGUUAGAAGUGAAAUCCUGUAGCUCAACUACAGUAAGCUUUUAAAACUGCUCAUCUUGAGAUAUGGAAGGGAAAGUGGAAUUCCUAGUGUAGCGAUGAAAUGCGCAGAAAUUAGGAGGAAUACCGGUGGCGAAGGCGACUUUCUGGCCAUAAUCUGACGCUGAGGUACGAAAGCGUGGGUAGCAAACAGG